ACUGGAACCACAUACACUCUGUUUACUAGAGUGCAGAAUGUGCUCGUGCCUUGCUACUUCCCGGCAUGAGUGACUUUGCCUUUAUGAAGCUCUAUGCAUACGAGAUGACGGUGGGAACUCGUCUCUGUAAGGCCAACACCUGAGCUACUGACGAAGGGAGUCUGCAGUGCAGUUGAGGUCUCAGCCCUGUGCCUUCAACCACUCUGGAGUAAUGCUGGGAGGAGCUCUCAGAUUGAUCCCUUCCAUAGCUUCCAAGGAUUUUUAGGAUUAUGGGAUUUAUGGACCUGCAAAAUCCUCUGGAGAACAUCAGCCACCCACAAAACCAUCUGGAAAUUCUCCCUAUCUUUCCUGGGUCACUGAGUGUUGGGAAGGAGGCAUCUCUGCUCUGAGGAUUACAGCAAAUCAGUCGCUUGCCGUCCUUACUGGAAUACCUCCCCUUUCAGUUGCUCGGAACAGAGCAAUUAUUGCAGAAGGCAGAAGAAUAUUUUUUCCCUUUCUCUGAGCUUUUGCAGUGCAGCAGUGGCCAUGUCUGGCAGAAGGCCUGAAGACUUCCAGGCGGUUCCUCCACACCGUGUUGUAUCAGUGCAAGUGUCCUCCAAUCGAGUUUGCUGAGUGCUGAGCUUAUGCCAGUGCUGAGCUGUGCAGCUGCAGUCUCAGGUGCAAAGCAAGAGGAGUAGCAGCGAACUUCUUGUCCCAGGGGAGGAUGCUGCUGCGUCACUUGCAUUCUUCACCCCUCCUGCCUUGUUGGGAAGGAGCAACCCUCCGAAGCCGGCGUGUCAAAAUUGUCCAUUUCAUUCCUCAACUUCCUGAAGCUGUCAGUGUGGGGUGAGCUGCAGGAGCUCUGAAUCCUUGGUGAGAGCGGGGUAAAACAGCAGAAGUGGCCUGAGCAGGAAUAACCCAACUUCAGAAGGGGAGGAAGUGAGUGUCUGACUACAACCUGCAUGUCUGUACUUAAGUAUGGCAGCGAUAGCCUGAGCAUGGUGAUCUUGAGCAUCAGUGUUGCUGCAGUGAUGGAAACAGCUGAUUCUAGAUAAAAAGAGGAAGAUUUGGUAGAAUACAUCAUGAUAUUUUUUAGAUGCUUCAAAUUUUGUCUUUUUUCCACCAUGAUGUAAGUGCAGAGGUUGCUCCACUUUGAAUGGGUAUUUUACAUGAGCCUGCCUCUCAAAUUAAGUAGGAUCAUGUUUCUUCAGCAUUUAGUGUGAACCUUGAUGCCUGGUGGUGUAUUUCAGCCUUCCAAAGAGACAUGCAAGAAUAAAGCACGAUGAUUCACUGCAUACUAAAAUGUUCUACAUGUAAAAUAAUAAUGAUAAAUAAAUAGAAAAGUUGCUGUUUCAGCUUUGCAAUAAAACUAUAAAACUCACCAGCCAGUAAACAGUGGAUCUCCUGUUCCCAUGGAGAAGAGCUGCUGCAGACCUAAAAGCUUGCUGUGGGAAAGAAAAGAAAUAUAAAUCAAAAAGAUCCACUCAUGGUCUUGCAAACAAAGGUUGCCUUGGAUUGUGGUCACAUGUUCCCGUUCAGCUGAUCGAGUUCAUGCCAAAAGGGGAAAGAUUUCUAGUACUUGCUUGAACCCCACUGAACUGGUUUAGGGAAUUAAUUAGAGGAAAACUCUUCACCUUUGUUUCUUCCCUCGCUGGUUUUCUCCUAGACCCCAUGGCCCUGCGUGAACUCACCAGCCCAGCCACCCCUUCCAUGACUUGUGGCCACUGAGUGAACUUGACUGUGAUUUAAAUUGCACCCUCAGCAAAGGGGCUUUGGCUUCUCCCUGCUGCGGGAGAAGGAGCCUGCCAAAUACCCAAAUCUGAGCUUUGUAAAUCAUACCCAGCAAGUCUCGGUGGCCAACUUGCUUCAAGGAUAUAAGGAGGAGGAACACCUGCGAGACCUUCUGGGGGUGAAUUGCAACCCCUGUAUAUAUAAAAGGUGUUGAUAAGCUGGUGUUGCUGGCAGCCCUCCUGGCCUGACCUAAUGCUCUGUGUGCAUAUGUUCUGUAAAUAAAGAUCAGGGCAGGCUUCUUCCCUUGAACACAUCCUCUGUCCAUGCCUAUGGAGGUAUUCAGGAGACCUUCCUAAGGCUGGGCAUUGGAGGUUGCAUGAAAAUUUCCAAAAUCUUUGGCUUCACACAUUUGGUGUUAAGGUACAUACAUGUGUUGCAUGCAUCACACAUAGUUUUGAGGACAAACUCAGUGCAGCAGGCUUAGCUCUCAUCCCAGGCAGUUUUCUCAGGGCUCUGGACUUGCAUCUAAUUUUUACAAAGCUCAUCAGAUGGCUGGUACCAGAGUGCUUUUCUUUGAGGGAUACUGUAUCAGCACAGUCGGGUAUUGGAUUGCUUUGCAGAAUUUUCUUGCCUUCCAUGGCGCAGGGCUUUUUUUGGCGAAGGUUCCAUCACACACUGAUCUUGCUGUCUUCUGUAGCAGAUGAGCCGUGGGUUCCUGGCUUGCACUUUCACCUAAGGGUGAAAGUGGUAGGAUGAAGUCGUAUAUCCAGACCUGUUAGUUUGGAGUACAAUGGUGUUGGUUAUAUCCCUCUUUUUUUUUUUUUUAACCUUGCAUUAGGGUGUGCUGAAGGAAGCAGGGAUGAAAACACUGUAGGUUGAAAUUACCCAGUAAAGAGCCUGAAUCAGCUGCAGAGGAUACUGAAAAUCUUGGUUACAGACCCAUUUUUUAUUUUUUCAAUAUUAUUAUAUCAUGCAGUGAAAAAGCAUAUCUGUUUCUUGGGUGAGGUCUUCCCGAGUUGACUGUGCUUCCCUGUGGCACGGCACACUUUCUUUGUAGCAUCCCGCAUGGGAGAUGAAAGGGUUUGAUGUAUACUGCCUUCAGGGCAGUGUGGAUUUCUCCUCAAAAACGCAGAUUCUAGUUUUAAAUGCCUAAAAAAUGAGACCUGUGCCUUAUCUCUUGGGAGAUCGUUGAUGGAUCCAUUCCUCAAAAAGAUAUUUUAUUCAUUCAAACUAUUCAGUUCUUUAAUUCAGUGCCACUCCCUUCAUUCGGAUGCCUGGAGUCUUUUAUCAUGUCUCCUCUUACUCAUUGCUUAGCCAAGUUAGACAUACUUAGUUCUUUUAAUCUUUCCUAGUAACUGAGUGUCUUUAAUCAUCGUGCUUGAUGUCAGAGUGUUUGAUGCCCACUUUUACUGAAAGUAAGCCUGGAUUUUGUGUGUGUGCAAAUCACUUGGGAAGUGAUCCAGGAGAGCAGGAGUAGCUGAGCAGCUGCAGCUGGUUGCACAGGCUUACUCCUGGAUUCCUCAAAAGCUCCCUCAAAUAUCCCAGUGUGGGUGCUGAGGAAGAUUCUUGGCUCACCUCAUAUGCCAGCAGACUUGGCACGCUUGGGGAUUAAUUAAUGUUUUUGUUGGAUGUGGGCAGCAGCUCCCCUGAAGACGUCUCAUGGCUUGGCUUUCCAGAGGCACAUUUCUCUGGACUUCCAUGGAACUAAUUGAAGAUGCAGGUGUAGAUUAUGUUUGCAGAAAACAGGCCCAGAAAGGUUACUGAAACUUACGUUUCCUUCUCUUACCCUCAGCAACAAGAGCAAGAUAGAGGCUUAACUUCCUUCUGCAAAAUCAAUAGCAAAGCCAAGGGAUGGGUUGUUUUUUGGGAGCAGUGAUUUUGCUACAUGCUGUUAAGUGCAGCUCAUCUACUCUUGCUGCAGGUAUUACUGUUGAUUUUCCAGAUGAGUUCAUAUAUUUGCACCUGAAAAUAAUCAUUCACAAAUUCUUAAAUCAGUGUGAAUGUAGGGAUUAUUGCUAUCUGUUACUGAGCUAUGCAGAGUAUCAUCUCAGCAUGGUGUCGUCAGACUUGGCUUUGUGGAGGUAAGCAUCUGCUUUCCUUCUUUGACACAGAAGUCCACAAUUUAUUCCAUCUUAUUUCAGUGGGAGCUGUUGGUAUUUCUCUGUUUCAGAAAGCCUGGCCUGAUCCAAGCCUAGUGUCGACUCACUUGGUUAAAUGCAGCACAUCUCCGGUUUGCUGGCAUCAGCACUGAGGGAGCUCGGGGUGGCACCUCUGAGUGAAGGAGGAGCAUGGACUUUGAAUCACACAGUGUUUGGCAGCAAAUUAAAGAAGGCCGAAGACUGCCUGUCCCUCCCCCUCAUCCUAUUCUGCAAGAAUGCUUCUCAUACUUCCCAAACUUAGCAGUGCAAAUGUCACUGGGUCUCGCUUGACUGAAAAAAGGAGAAAGGAGGAGUGUGUGCAGGGAGUUCAGGUCCUGCUGUGGCUUCUUGGGAAGUGAGGGCUCCUGUUGAGCAGCUGUCCCAUUUUACCGAGCAGCUGGAGUUAGAGGCUGAUUAAAGGAGUGAGAAACCUCUUUUCAUUUAUUUCUGCUGCAUAAGACAGCAGAAAACCACAAAACUGGAGCCUCAGUAAUUUCUUUACACCCACCAUUUGCCAGUAUUCUGGAUUGGAAACCAACCACAGCAGCUACUGACAGUCUCAUUCCUCCUCCAUGUGAACCUCCUUCCAGGGAACUGUGAUAAUUCCCACCUCCAUUUCCUUUGCAGACUGGGGUUUCAUGACCAUUAAACCUCUUCCUGGAACCAUGGGAUGGCCCCACAGUGCUUUUGAUCCAGGUCAGAUGUGCGCUUCUCUGUGGGAUGAGAGUCCAGCAAGUCCAGCCAUCAGAACCUACCUAGACCCGAUGGAGCUGCAUGCUCUGACUCGUCCCUACCAAAAUGUCCCCACACCCUGCCCCAGGGCUGUGCAUUCCUGGGUGCUGGUUGCCUGUGCCUCAUGAAGUCUUUCCACCAAACUCAUCAGUUUGGCUUCGUUCUGCAUCACCACACUGACACUGUGCAAGCUGCAAGCCACCAAACUGUACCUUUGAGCCAUCUCAUGGGGCACAUGUCUCACAGUGGCUUGGCUGCUGGGCCACGCAGGGUGGGAUGCGCAGCACACUGCGAGGUUGAGCACUGAGCUGGGAGAAUAGCGUCCCUAAUUCAGGUUGAUGCUGGAGCUCUUUCUGCAGACCAUUUCAAAGGGCGUUUUGUUUUUUGUCUUCAUUCACUGUUCACAAGUGUUCUCCCACUUGUGCAUUUUGUGCAAUUUUAAAAGCUUCUUGCAUGUAUUCCUUUCCUCUUAUCCUAGAUUAAGUGGCUGUCUUCUCUUCUUUCUUAGCUGGCUUGUUCUUGCAGAGGCAGGGAGUAGCAAAACAUGUUUUUCCUUCUGAAAAGAGAAAAAAUAAAUAUGUUUGAUACCUGAGAAUAGUUUUUACUGUUCAUCUGAGGCAGCUUGAAAUCCUUAGGGAAAAUCAGAAUUGUUCCAUUAGGACGAGCUGCUUGCAAGCAUUCUGCCAAACUGGAACAGCCCUUCAAGCUGUACUGAAAUGAAUUAAAACCCUCCGCAGAUAAGCACAGCAUAGGGUAUAAAUUUUAUUUCAACAGACGGAAAAAGUCCAGUACAUCAUCUCCUUUUAUUUCAGUGUGUGGUUGUCUUGUCACCCAUGUACAUAUAGAAGUAUGCUUUCUUCACAUGUAUUUGCUGAGGCACUCAAGCUAAACGCGAUUGAGCCUGGUGGUUGCUGGGAUGGUUCAUCGUGCAUGUCCAGGUGCCAUCUGUACACAGGGAAGCUGGCAGUGCAGCAAAUGGCUGUUUUCCUUCCUAUAAGAAAUGCAUGUUGGCGUUGCUUUUUGAUGAUCGCUUAGGAUCUUAAAGUUUUUGUGCUUUCACAUUUAUUUUUGUGAUGGCUAAAUUUCAGUUCACUUAAUUCCCUGUGAACAAUUCUUCUUUUGUUAAAUAAACUAUUCCUUGCAAACCAUAGCAGUGAUGUCAUUGUUGUUGUGGGGGUUUGGGUUGGGUUGAGUUGAGUUUUAAGCAGCU